CGUUCCGGAUAACCGCUGAAAGCAUCUAAGUGGGAAGCCGACCUCGAGAUGAGCUCACCCACUGGGCAACCAGGUAAGGCCGCACGUAGACCACGUGUUUGAUAGACGGCAGGUGGAAGGGUCGCAAGAUCUGGAGCUAAGCCGCACUAACGGCCGAGGGCUUGACCUAA
rnacentral:rRNA from 1 species